ensembl:lncRNA
ACUCAGCCCAUUUGACCAUGGGAAGGGAAAUGAGAUGAAGAACGAGGAGAAAGAGCAAGAGGGUGAAUGCAAAAGCAGAAGGCACCCACUGCUCUGUCCUUGCCUGGCUUUUGAUGCUCUUUCUCUGGCUCUUGGACCUGCAAGUUUAAGCCCACUCUGAACUACUAGAGAGAAAAAUUCUGCUUUGGUGAGUUUAAACGAGCUGGUCAUAGGCGUGUUUUUCCUCAGGUGCUUGCCCAGGUUGUGAAGGCCACAGAUGGAGCACUGCUGACCUCCCGGGUAAGAUGCAGCAGUGAUUUCAUGGAAUAGAGAGGAGUUUUGUCUGUGACACAAAGAGGAGGACACAGCCGUACUAAGGGUAGCUUUGGGCUCUGUAUAUUUGCUCAGUAAGAGAUUUUUCCACCUUCUCCUGCUGGAAGCACUUAAUUCAAGCUGAAGCAGCUUAGAUAUAUGCAGAGAUCUGUUUGUGUGCGCCAUGCAUACAUAUAUGCAUGGAGAUACACGCAAAGCAUGCAGGCAGCUGUACAUUUGCGGUGUUAUAUUUCCUUAGGGACUCACUGAUCUCAAGCCACUGCACAGAGCAGUCCCUGGAACAGCUUUCUGAUGGAAGGUCAAGAGUGAUCUCCUGUUGGCCAUUUAACAAGAGGUGGAGUGAGAUUGAGAUCUCCGAGGCCUUGAACAUUCAGCCUUCUCCUUUCUCCAGCCUAUUUGCUUUUCAUUUUCACAUUAUGUAUGAGAUUAGAUCCUCCGAUAAAAAUACUCACUGUGGAAGUAUUGUCCGAAGUGGAUACUCUGACAACCAUGGCCAGUAUCCCUUCAGAAGUAUCAGGAUGCUCACAAUGAAGAAGACGAUUGCUCAGAGCAUCACCAGCCAGCAUCCUCAGCAGCUUCUGCAGCACCUCUGGGUGCCAGCGCAGCCCUGUGCAAUCCUUGCAGUAGCCUGUUUCUAUGGAUAUGUGAGUUCUAGCCUGUGCUGGCUCAUGCAGAUGCCCCAGAAGGGUGGUGGAUGAGGUGCAGCCACCCUUCACAGACUCUUUUGUUAUGUGUUCAUGAAUAACCAUGAUCCUGGUUUCCAAGUCUCUGCUCAGUCCACGCCAGCUCUUCUCAGGCAAUGCAAUCUGUGCUCCUCCAUCAUCAGAACCAGCACCUCCUCUAUCCCAAACAUAUAUUUGUUUCUACAGUAAAGAGUCCUAACCUUCUUCCAUUCUGGAAUGGAUGGAAAAUGCCCACUGUCCUGUCCUCCUUUUCUGAGUCCUGGCUCUGGUCUCUCCAUGAAGAAAUGGGGUUGAAAGAUCCUAUCUCAAGUGAAGCUGCAGCUAAUGCAAGCUGCAGUUAAUGAAAACUGCGCUGAGCACUGAGCUCCUGGUGCUACCGAAGCUCUCUGCCUUUCCCAGACUUCCUGGGAAGUGUUUUGAACUUUAUUUUUAAAAGCGCAAUUAAUCACGGAGCAGAGCUUGAAAUCAGUCCAAGUGCAAUAAAAGCACCCGAGCGGGGCUCAGCCCAGCGAGCAUUGUUUGCCACGGCCUGACUUCAGGCAUGGGGAAACUUUUCAGAUGUGCUAACUUUGCAGCUCCUGGCUCCUGCAGGAAUCUUAACUGCUACCAUCUGUACGAGGGAGCAGCUAUGGAAGAGCAGCUCUCCCUCUCCCUUUAUGUACAUUCCUCGGAGCACCCAUUUAGCAUCCUCUGCAUUUUCUCACCCUCGCUGACUGAAGGCUUUGCCCUACAAAGGUGCUGUUUCUUUGUGCUUCCAUCCCUCA